GUAGGUGACGAGCGUUAUCCGGAUUUACUGGGCGUAAAGCGCUUGUAGGUGGCUUUGUAAGUUGGGCGUGAAAACUCUGGGCUUAACCCAGAGACGCCGUCCAAUACUGCGAGGCUCGAGGAUGUCAGAGGAAGGUGGAAUUCCUGGUGUAGUGGUGAAAUGCGUAAAUAUCAGGAGGAACACCCGUGGCGAAGGCGGCCUUCUGGGGCAUUCCUGACACUGAGAAGCGAAAGCUAGGGGAGCAAACAGGAUUAGAAACCCUGGUAGUCCUAGCUGUAAACGAUGGAUGCUAGGUGUUGGCGGAUUUAACCCUGCCAGUGCCGAAGCUAACGCGUUAAGCAUCCCGCCUGGGAAGUACGAUCGCAAGAUUA
rnacentral:rRNA from 1 species